GCUCCAGUGGCGCAAUCAGUCAGCGUGUGGUACUUAUAAUGCCGAGGUUGUGAGUUCAAGUCUCACCUGGAGCA